AUUGAACGCUGGCGGCAUGCCUUACACAUGCAAGUCGAACGGUAACAGGUCUUCGGAUGCUGACGAGUGGCGAACGGGUGAGUAAUACAUCGGAACGUGCCCGAUCGUGGGGGAUAACGAAGCGAAAGCUUUGCUAAUACCGCAUACGAUCUACGGAUGAAAGCAGGGGACCGCAAGGCCUUGCGCGAACGGAGCGGCCGAUGUCAGAUUAGGUAGUUGGUGGGGUAAAGGCUCACCAAGCCGACGAUCUGUAGCUGGUCUGAGAGGACGACCAGCCACACUGGGACUGAGACACGGCCCAGACUCCUACGGGAGGCAGCAGUGGGGAAUUUUGGACAAUGGGCGCAAGCCUGAUCCAGCAAUGCCGCGUGCAGGAUGAAGGCCUUCGGGUUGUAAACUGCUUUUGUACGGAGCGAAAAGGCUUCCACUAAUACUGGGGGCUCAUGACGGUACCGUAAGAAUAAGCACCGGCUAACUACGUGCCAGCCGCCGCCGUAA
rnacentral:rRNA from 1 species